AUUUUUGUGCAAUAUUUUAUUGUUUUAUGAGAAUAAAAUAUUAUUAGUCAGAUAUUCAUUAUUCAAGCACUCCAAAAUAUUCACAAAAUAUUAUCAUUUUCCAAAUGCUGUGUGAAACGCACGUUUGAAUUGCGUUCGAUUAUUGUCUUUUUAUAAAAUCGGAUAUCGGGUACAAAUGUACAAUAUUUAAUGAUGAUAAUAAUAUACAAAACCAAAUAGAUGUAAAAAAGUAUAAUCCGGUGUUAAUGUUAAGUUCUAGAGUUGUAGAGGUCUAUUCAUAUAUUAUACGUCGUCCUCCAGGGCGUGUAGGUUCUCACAAUAUGUCCGCUGCAGUUAAACUAUUAAAGCAUCGUCGGGUCAUCGUUAGAAAACUAUUUUUAUGUUUUAUUUGAUAAUAUUAUAAUAAUAUGUUGAUAUUGCAUAACAUAAUAUAUUAUAGUAAUAUGAUAUUAUACCAAACACGUGUGCUCGGCGGAGGGAAAAAGAACAAGCGCAAAAUACGAAUAUUAUUGUCAUUAUUUUAGUUUCCGCAGUGGAGUUCGUCUUCUUCUUGCUCGUGCUAUAUACAUAAUUUUAUUAUUGUUUAAGGUCGAAAUCGUCCGCUGCAGCAAAGAUCGAAACGAAACACAUCAGUCACGGGCUAUUGUGCUCUACUCUUUGUUGUCGUCGAGAUUUAGCUGCGCAAAUUUUCGUUCCGGUGUGCCUGGCAUACCGGUCAGUGUCAGUCGGUUAAACUGCAGUCAGUGCGCGCGCGACCCAACUGUUUGUGUUUGUGUAUACGAUGUAUUGUGGUUAAUGAUAUUAUAAUAUAUUAUAUACGCGAAACGCAUGCGCGUGUUGUACUAUACCUGGUGAGUUGGUUUUUUUUUUCAGCCUAUCCAAAUAUCGAAAUAGGUACCUAUCAAAAACGUCAAAAAAAACAUAAAAACCGUGUAAAUCUAUACGCCGCCGGCAUCGAUGAUAGGUUUGUUGCAGUGGUGUCGACUGAGUAAGUUCUAUAUUUUUUUGUUCCGAGCGUAAACACCGCGAAGGUCUAGGAAAUAGGUACGUCGAACAGUAAAUUGGAUGUUUAUCGACUGCGAACGAAAUCCGAUAUAAUAUAUAUAAUAAAUAUUUUUUUAACGAGAUCAUUUGUACGCGGUGAUGCGGUACAGAAGCUGUCUUUAAUGCAGCACCUGCACUGCUGUAUACCGCUGUGAAAACGGAACUGGCGCAUUCGGACAGAAAACAUUUUUUUUUUUUCGUUUGCUCAUAACGCCGCCACUCAACACCGUCAUUACUUGCCAAGGCUUCAAAAUAUUAUGUUAACACAUAAUUGCAAUAGUUGAAAGUUUCACAGCUAUUUUUUUGGCACACGUCUUUCGGUAAAUUUCGUUGAUACUGCUGACAUUUUGCCGAUGGUUCUUUUUUGGAUUCUGAACGGUGCGGGAAGUCCAUCAGUACUUAUUGUCUGGUAAUUAUUUUAUGUAUAGAAGUAGUAAUCCAAAGUUUAAUUUAACCCCUCUUUUAAUCUCCGUAAAUAAGAAAUUCGUCAUAGAUUUAGGAUACUUCAAACAUAUUAGAAUUUUAGGAUUUUCCAAUUGCUUUCAGUGCAAAUUAAAAAAAAAAGCAGGUAAGUGGAUACGCUCUGCUGUACAGUAGGU